rnacentral:pre_miRNA from 1 species
GAUGUCAAAUGAAAAAGGCAUCAACAACAAAGUUGUAUAACUCAUAAAUAUCUCUAACUUUUAUUUUGGUUAUUUCUUCAUCCGACAAAAUAAUAAUAACAUUGUUCACAAAAUUUAUAUAUCUCUCUUAUACUUUAUAAAACCAUAUAAGAGAUAUGCAAUUUUUGUGAACAAUGUUAUUGUCACUUUGUCGGAUGAAGAAAUGACCAAAAUAAAAGUUAAAUAUAUUGAUGAGUUAUACAACUUUGUUGUUGAUGACUUUUUCGGUGGAAGUC